AGAGUUUGAUCCUGGCUCAGGAUGAACGCUAGCUACAGGCUUAACACAUGCAAGUCGAGGGGAAACGAUAUUGGAAGCUUGCUUCCGAUAGGCGUCGGCCGGCGCACGGGUGAGUAACGCGUAUCCAACCUGCCCACCACUUGGGGAUAACCUUGCGAAAGUAAGACUAAUACCCAAUGACGUCUCUAGAAGACAUCUGAAAGAGAUUAAAGAUUUAUCGGUGAUGGAUGGGGAUGCGUCUGAUUAGCUUGUUGGCGGGGUAACGGCCACCAAGGCUACGAUCAGUAGGGGUUCUGGAGAGGAAGGUCCCCCACGAUUGGAACUGAGACACGGUCCAAACUCCUACGGGAGGCA
rnacentral:rRNA from 1 species